GAUGAAGAACGCAGCGAAAUGCGAUACGUAAUGUGAAUUGCAAAUUCAGUGAAUCAUCGAAUCUUUGAACGCACAUUGCGCCCGCCAGUAUUCUGGCGGGCAUGCCUGUUCGAGCGUCAUUACAACCCUCAGGCCCCCGGGCCUGGCGUUGGGGAUCGGCGGAAGCCCCCUGCGGGCACAACGCCGUCCCCCAAAUACAGUGGCGGUCCCGCCGCAGCUUCCAUUGCGUAGUAGCUAACACCUCGCAACUGGAGAGCGGCGCGGCCACGCCGUAAAACACCCAACUUCUGAAUGUUGACCUCGAAUCAGGUAGGAAUACCCGCUGAACUUAAGCAUAUCAAUAAGCGGAGGA
rnacentral:misc_RNA from 1 species